rnacentral:lncRNA from 1 species
UUUUCUCUCUUCCUUCCUUUCUUUCAGUACUCUUUGAAAUUGCAGUGUCACAAGAAGUCUGAUCUGGUUUCAGCAGCAGAACUAAAGUUACGAUCCCAAACUAACCACAUCAACCCUCAUAUACUAACUGCUGGGACUAUGAUGGUGCAGCCUCUUUGGCAUACAGCUUGGCAGUUUCUCAAAAAGUUUAUACUAUAGAAUUACCAUAAGGUCCAGCAAUCCUACCUCUAGGUAUAAGCCCCAGGGAAAGAAAAACCGGGUAUGUGAACCAAUACCUGCACACGAAUGUACUUAUCAGCACAUUUUGCAAUAGCCCCAAAGUGGAAAUAACCCACAUAUCUACCAACUGAUGGAAUGUAAAACAAAAUGCGGUGUAUCUAUACAAUGGAAUAAUAUUAUUGAACAAUAAAAGGUUGUGAAGUACUGGUACAGCAUGGAUGAGAGUUGGAAACAUUAUGCUAAGUGAAUGAGGCCCCAUACAAAAUGCACAUCAUAUGAUUCCAUUUACAUGAAAUGUCUAGAGUGGGCAAAUCCACAGAGAGAGUGCAGAGUAGUGGUUGCCGAGGGCGGGAGUGAGUAGGGAAUUGGGAAUGGCUGCUAAAGGGGGGAGGGUUUCUUUUUUGGAGUGAUGAAAAUGUCCUGGAAUUAGCGGUAAUGAUUAUACAAUCCUGUGAGUGUAUUAAAAAAUGUUGCAUUUUAUACUUGAAAAUGGUGAAUGCUAUACACAAAUGAUCUCUCAAUUUAAAAACUAAUCACAUCACAGUUCUACAUGUGUACAAAUUUAGGACAAAUAAAAUUACUUUCAAAAUGAACCACACUGUAAUGGCAGCACUUUUGUGACAUUUGUCUUCUCAUUGUUUUCCUGUGCUAUCCAAAAUGCCCUUCAGUGAGUUGCUUUCUGUUAAAAGUCUCAAUAACGUGGGAUGCCUGGGUGGCUCGGUGGUUGAGCAUCUGCCUUCAGCCCAGGGCGUGAUCCCAGGGUCCCGGGGUCAAAUCCCAUAUCGGGCUUCCUGCAUGGGGCCUAAUUCUCCCUCUACCUGUGUCUCUGCCUCUCUCUCUGGGUCUCUCAUGAAUAAAUAAAUAAAAUCUUAAAAAAAAAGUCUCAAUAAUGUUAUGGAAGCCACACUUCUAAAAAGGAGCCAAUGCCCUACUUUACCUUUUUCAGCAUUCUGGCUCUAUCUCUGAAUAAACUUUUUGUUAGUGAAAAAGCAAUUGUUAAUGGUUCAACAUAGUAUAGGUCACUUGUCCAUCUCUGCUUUGAGAGUGCUAGAGAUUAGGGUAAAGCUUUGAAAUUAUUUUAAGUUUUACUCUCCAGGACCAAGAAAAUGCUUGAAAGUCCCCUGGCAAUAUAAACACUCUUCUUCUUCUAGGAGUUCCCAAAGAGCUGUUUUGGGAGGGAGUAGGAGCACUUAGAAAUCAGAGCCCCUCAAUGUCAGAAGUUGUGCAGCUCUGGAUGUUGCAAGCAGAGCUUUGUAGAAGGAUGUGCUUGAACCCGGGAUGGAGGUUGAGGGCCAGCAGCACCUCCCAGUCAGCAUAUAUUAAAAAUGUAUGUGGGUUUCUUUUUUUUUUGGGGGGGGGGUGGGUUGCUCAGUGAGUUAAGCAUCCAACUCUAUUUCAACUCAGUUCU